rnacentral:rRNA from 1 species
UACGGGGGGGGCAAGCGUUGUUCGGAAUUACUGGGCGUAAAGGGCUCGUAGGCGGCCAACUAAGUCAGACGUGAAAUCCCUCGGCUUAACCGGGGAACUGCAUCUGAUACUGGAUGGCUUGAGAUUGGGAGAGGGAUGCGGAAUUCCAGGUGUAGCGGUGAAAUGCGUAGAUAUCAGGAAGAACACCGGUGGCGAAGGCGCUCUGCUAGGCCGCAACUGACACUGAGGGACGAAAGCUAGGGGAGCGAAUGGG